rnacentral:rRNA from 1 species
GCCCGUUAAUGGGUGAGAGCGUGCCUUUUGUAGAAUGAACCGGCGAGUUACGUUAUGAUGCGAGGUUAAGUUGAAGAGACGGAGCCGUAGGGAAACCGAGUCUGAACAGGGCGAAUUAGUAUCAUGACGUAGACCCGAAACCAUGUGACCUACCCAUGAGCAGGUUGAAGGUGCGGUAAGACGCACUGGAGGACCGAACCAGGGCACGUUGAAAAGUGCUUGGAUGACUUGUGGGUAGCGGAGAAAUUCCAAACGAACUUGGAGAUAGCUGGUUCUCUCCGAAAUAGCUUUAGGGCUAGCGUCGACAUUAGAGAUUCUUGGAGGUAGAGCACUGUUUGGGUGAGGGGUCCAUCCCGGAUUACCAAUCUCAGAUAAACUCCGAAUGCCAAUGAAUUAUGGUCGGCAGUCAGACUGCGAGUGCUAAGAUCCGUAGUCGAAAGGGAAACAGCCCAGACCACCAGCUAAGGUCCCAAAAUAAUUGUUAAGUGGAAAAGGAUGUGGGGUUGCACAGACAACUAGGAUGUUAGCUUAGAAGCAGCUAUUCAUUCAAAGAGUGCGUAAUAGCUCACUAGUCGAGUGACCCUGCGCCGAAAAUGUACCGGGGCUAAAACAAUUUACCGAAGCUGUGGAUACCUUUAUAGGUAUGGUAGGAGAGCGUUCUAUGUGUGAUGAAGGUAUACCGUGAGGAGUGCUGGAACGCAUAGAAGUGAGAAUGCCGGUAUGAGUAGCGAAAGACAGGUGAGAAUCCUGUCCACCGUAAGACUAAGGUUUCCAGGGGAAGGCUCGUCCGCCCUGGGUUAGUCGGGACCUAAGGAGAGACCGAAAGGUGUAUCCGAUGGACAACAGGUUGAUAUUCCUGUACUAGAGUAUGUAGUGAUGGAGGGACGCAGUAGGCUAACUAAAGCAGACGAUUGGAAGAGUCUGUCUAAGCAGUGAGGUGUGAAUUGAGUCAAAUGCUUAAUUCUAUAACAUUGAGCUGUGAUGGGGAGCGAAGUUUAGUAGCGAAGUUAGUGACGUCACACUGCCAAGAAAAGCUUCUAGCGUUUAAACAUACUCUACCCGUACCGCAAACCGACACAGGUAGUCGAGGCGAGUAGCCUCAGGUGAGCGAGAGAACUCUCGUUAAGGAACUCGGCAAAAUGACCCCGUAACUUCGGGAGAAGGGGUGCUGACUUUAGGUCAGCCGCAGUGAAUAGGCCCAAGCAACUGUUUAUCAAAAACACAGCUCUCUGCUAAAUCGUAAGAUGAUGUAUAGGGGGUGACGCCUGCCCGGUGCUGGAAGGUUAAGAGGAGUGCUUAGCGUAAGCGAAGGUAUGAAUUGAAGCCCCAGUAAACGGCGGCCGUAACUAUAACGGUCCUAAGGUAGCGAAAUUCCUUGUCGGGUAAGUUCCGACCCGCACGAAAGGCGUAAUGAUUUGGGCACUGUCUCAACGAGAGACUCGGUGAAAUUUUAGUACCUGUGAAGAUGCAGGUUACCCGCGACAGGACGGAAAGACCCCAUGGAGCUUUACUGCAGUUUGAUAUUGAGUGUCUGUACCACAUGUACAGGAUAGGUAGGAGUCUAAGAGAUCGGGACGCCAGUUUCGAAGGAGACGCUGUUGGGAUACUACCCUUGUGUUAUGGCCACUCUAACCCAGAUAGGUGAUCCCUAUCGGAGACAGUGUCUGACGGGCAGUUUGACUGGGGCGGUCGCCUCCUAAAAGGUAACGGAGGCGCCCAAAGGUUCCCUCAGAAUGGUUGGAAAUCAUUCGCAGAGUGUAAAGGUAUAAGGGAGCUUGACUGCGAGAGCUACAACUCGAGCAGGGACGAAAGUCGGGCUUAGUGAUCCGGUGGUUCCGUAUGGAAGGGCCAUCGCUCAACGGAUAAAAGCUACCCUGGGGAUAACAGGCUUAUCUCCCCCAAGAGUUCACAUCGACGGGGAGGUUUGGCACCUCGAUGUCGGCUCGUCGCAUCCUGGGGCUGUAGUCGGUCCCAAGGGUUGGGCUGUUCGCCCAUUAAAGCGGCACGCGAGCUGGGUUCAGAACGUCGUGAGACAGUUCGGUCCCUAUCCGUCGCGGGCGUAGGAAAUUUGAGAGGAUCUGCUCCUAGUACGAGAGGACCAGAGUGGACUUACCGCUGGUGUACCAGUUGUCUUGCCAAAGGCAUCGCUGGGUAGCUAUGUAGGGAAGGGAUAAACGCUGAAAGCAUCUAAGUGUGAAACCCACCUCAAGAUGAGAUUUCCCAUGAUUAUAUAUCAGUAAGAGCCCUGAGAGAUGAUCAGGUAGAUAGGUUAGAAGUGGAAGUGUGGCGACACAUGUAGCGGACUAAUACUAAUAGCUCGAGGACUUAUCCAA